UCGCAAGACCAAAGUGGGGGACCUUCGGGCCUCAUGCCAUCAGAUGUGCCCAGAUGGGAUUAGCUAGUAGGUGGGGUAACGGCUCACCUAGGCGACGAUCCCUAGCUGGUCUGAGAGGAUGACCAGCCACACUGGAACUGAGACACGGUCCAGACUCCUACGGGAGGCAGCAGUGGGGAAUAUUGCACAAUGGGCGCAAGCCUGAUGCAGCCAUGCCGCGUGUGUGAAGAAGGCCUUCGGGUUGUAAAGCACUUUCAGCGGGGAGGAAGGC
rnacentral:rRNA from 1 species